rnacentral:rRNA from 1 species
UACGUAGGGCGCAAGCGUUGUCCGGAAUUAUUGGGCGUAAAGAGCUCGUAGGCGGCUUGUCGCGUCGACUGUGAAAACUUGGGGCUCAACCCCAAGCUUGCAGUCAAUACGGGCAGGCUAGAGUUCGGUAGGGGAGACUGGAAUUCCUGGUGUAGCGGUGAAAUGCGCAGAUAUCAGGAGGAACACCGAUGGCGAAGGCAGGUCUCUGGGCCGAUACUGACGCUGAGGAGCGAAAGCGUGGGGAGCGAACAGG